UCAGUUUGGCUGCAGGGGGAUGGGACUUCAAACACUUUGAACCUUUCAAAACAUCUGCCUCAGAUUGUAAGCUAUCACUACUUUUGCAUUAAAAAAAAAGGUAUCUCAAAAGUAUGUUGUUGUGAGUCAUAUUCCAAAUGCUGGAAGAAUGGUGAUGGCAUUAGUGAAAUCCAGAACUGAAGCUGCAGUGCUCUCAAGUUUCAAUGGGAACUUCAGAACUGCUUUCUAACUGAAUUCUUCCAACCUGUGCUGAAGUAAAGUAAGUUCAUAUUAUUGUUUUCCACAUUUUUCAACAUCCUACCCAGUUAAUGUGACACAACUUAUUCUUAUUUGACAGUGACUAGCUCCACCCCUGUCUGCCUUCCAGUAGCUGAAUCUGACACGAUAUCAUCAUCUUUGCCCCAUCUGACUGGUGGUGACAUUGAAUUUAAAGCAGGGAGAUGGCUAAUGGAAGUGGUUAUGAAAGUGGAAGUGACAGCAGCUGAAGUGGAAGGGAAAACUGAAGAUUUAAAGUGCUGAAAAUCAUGUGGGUGAAAGACCAGUAGCACCAGCGUACCUUCCCAGCUCUCUGCUCUUUGAAGAUCACUGUUUGCAGAAAUAAUGGCUCUGCAGUGGGCAGAGGGAUUUGUGUUGACUGUUAGAAUAUAUCUGUUGCUGCCAUAACCUUUCUUCUUGACUUUUGAGGAGAAUAUCCUGCAGACCUCAGUCGUCUUCACCUGAGUCCUCAGAGCCAUGUAAUUUCCUUUGAUCUUCUCCGUCCCCUCAUACCUAUGUGGAUGGGCAACAAGGAGGAGUACUACAAGACCUGUGUAAGUUCCAGCAUUCUCUGCAAGGUUGAGGUUCCAGGUCCUGGAUAAGCACCAGAUCUCCCAAAAGAGCAAAUCUGUUUGGAAGAUGGGCUUGUAUGCCAGUCUUCACCUAAUUCUAGAUGCUAACUUGUUCUUACAGCCAGUUUUUAUAUGUAUGCAUUAUAAUCAAUCUAAACUAAUGAUUUCACGGAUCUUAGUGAAAAUAAACCUAUUUACAAAGUCUAACUUUCCCCAGUUCCUCCAGCCUGAAUAGAAACUUUGUCCAACCACACCCCUUAAGGAACUGAAUGGCUCUACUUGAAUAAAUGAAGACUUAAGAUUGGAAGUACCUUUAUGAAAGUUACUUUCGAAGAAGAAUGAUUUGCUUCUUUAUGUAUGCUGUUUAAGUAUGAGUUUCACAUACAGAAUUGUACCUUCAACAAAAAAUACUGUUGCUUCAAUUCUAGGCUCCUAAAAUGUAUCUGCUGUUCUUUCUUGGGAACGUCUUACAGCUUCUUUCCUGAUACUUCAGUAAAUGUGCAUCUUAGACUAGAGGUUUGGAUUAAAAGUGUGCAGACACCUUGACUUGGAAGGCCUUUAUCUUCUAGCUCCAUCUGAACUGAACAUCAUCAAUUUAUGUGGUGUGCAGUAAAUAGACUAGUGCAGCACAGUUGAAAAUUUACAGCGUUAUCCUCUCUGCAGUAGGUAGGUUUUAUUCUUUUUCUGCCUCUUUCACAACUUAUUGCAGUGAUUAUAGAAAAUUGCUGCAGUCAUAACACAAAACAAGGAAAAGCAUCUUUUUUUUUUUUUUUUUUUUUUUUCUUUUUCUUUGUGUUGAAUGCUAAUUUCAUCUCACUGAAGAAUCUAAUUUCAUUAAAACCUAUACUGCCAAUAAAGGAAUUCUUUCUUAGGUUAACAAAAUGCUGAGGGAGAGUACAUUAAUAUUUGCCUUACACUCUGUAUUUUCUGUAGUUCUUAGCACGAAAUUCUCUCACUAAAAGCAUUUUUCACUCUUAACAAUAGAAGACAAAUAAUGUAUAAUUUCACUGGAUCUUGAUGCUUACUUAAAGUUAAAUAUAUGCAUGCCUGUAACAUUUAUUAAGUUUAACAAAUGCUGGCAUAUACUAAUGCUGAAAAACUUCUGUUUAGAAGCACUUCCACUGAAAUAAAUUGACCAGUACUCUAAGGUGUUGUGAAUUGCUCACAAGCUAAAUGAUUGUGUAGCAACAGAGAACCAUGAAAACUAUUCAUAUGUAGAAAAGUAAUUUCUGUGUGCAGGGUGGUACUCCUUAUCAAUUUUGUAGCUAUUCUGAGAAAACUAAAACCAAAAUAUCUCCUGUUUGUGCUGUUAAUGAACUAAUUUGAGACAUCUUUAUUUCCUAUCUGUCUAUUAGCACAUGUUGUAUUGGCACAACUUUAUCUGUCAGGUUCCAGUUAAAUAUGUUGUUUAACAGCAUUAUUUUCAGCAUAUGCAUUUUGUAUUUAAGCAUAUAUUGGCAAAGCUGCAUGAUAUAUCCUAAAUACUUGCUAAUUAAAUCAAUUUCUGCAUAGUUCAGCACAUCUAAAAUAUCCCAAAUGUAGGACUAAAUUAUUGUUGUUAAAAAGUAGUUGUAUAUAAAUUGUUACUUAUUUAGAAUUUCAUAUAAGUUAAACUAUAUUCAUAUAUGAUGUAUAUGUAUGUAGUAACUGGUCAUAACCAGAUACUUUAUACUCAAAAUAAAUAUGUCCCUUGUGUAUACUUCUGUUGUUACUUUUUUCUUUCCUCCAGUAAAA